rnacentral:rRNA from 1 species
UACGGAGGGAGCUAGCGUUGUUCGGAAUUACUGGGGCGUAAAGCGCACGUAGGCGGCUUUGUAAGUUAGAGGUGAAAGCCCGGAGCUCAACUCCGGAAUUGCCUUUAAGACUGCAUCGCUUGAAUCCAGGAGAGGUGAGUGGAAUUCCGAAGUGUAGAGGUGAAAUUCGUAGAUAUUCGGAAGAACACCAGUGGCGAAGGCGACUCUCUGGGGCUG